UAGCAAUAUUAAUAAGGCUAGACCGGCGCACGGGUGCGUAACACGUAUGCAACCUACCUUAUACUGGGGAAUAACUUCGAGAAAUCGGCGCUAAUACCCCAUAACAUUGCGAAAUGGCAUCAUUUUGCAAUUAAAGCUCCGGCGGUAUAAGAUGGGCAUGCGUCCAAUUAGCUAGUUGGUGAGGUAACUGCUCACCAAGGCUACGAUUGGUAGGGGUUCUGAGAGGAUGAUCCCCCACACUGGUACUGAGACACGGACCAGACUCCUACGGGAGGCAGCAGUGAGGAAUAUUGCGCAAUGGACGAAAGUCUGACGCAGCCAUGCCGCGUGCAGGAUGACGGCCCUAUGGGUUGUAAACUGCUUUUGUAUGGGAAUAAACCCUUCUACGUGUAGGAGGCUGAAGGUACCAUAAGAAUAAGCACCGGCUAACUCCGUGCCAGCAGCCGCGGUAAUACGGAGGGUGCAAGCGUUAUCCGGAUUUAUUGGGUUUAAAGGGU
rnacentral:rRNA from 1 species